CCUACGGGGUGGCAGCAGUGGGGAAUAUUGGACAAUGGGCGAAAGCCUGAUCCAGCCAUGCCGCGUGUGUGAAGAAGGCCUUCGGGUUGUAAAGCACUUUCAGUGGGGAAGAAAGCCUUGGGGCUAAUACCCUCGAGGAAGGACAUCACCCACAGAAGAAGCACCGGCUAACUCCGUGCCAGCAGCCGCGGUAAUACGGAGGGUGCGAGCGUUAAUCGGAAUUACUGGGCGUAAAGCGCGCGUAGGCGGUCUGAUAAGCCGGUUGUGAAAGCCCCGGGCUCAACCUGGGAACGGCAUCCGGAACUGUCAGGCUAGAGUGCAGGAGAGGAAGGUAGAAUUCCCGGUGUAGCGGUGAAAUGCGUAGAGAUCGGGAGGAAUACCAGUGGCGAAGGCGGUCUUCUGGACUGACACUGACGCUGAGGUGCGAAAGCGUGGGUAGCAAACAGGAUUAGAUACCCUGGUAGUC
rnacentral:rRNA from 1 species